GUCUACGGCCACGCUAACCUGAAUGCGCCUGAUCUCAUGUGAUCUCAGAAGCUAGGCAGGGUAGAGCCGAGGGAAGAAAGGUUCGGUGAAUC
rnacentral:rRNA from 1 species